rnacentral:rRNA from 1 species
UACGUAGGGUGCAAGCGUUAUUCGGAAUUACUGGGCGUAAAGCGUGCGCAGGCGGCUUUGCAAGUCAGAUGUGAAAUCCCCGGGCUUAACCUGGGAACUGCAUUUGUGACUGCAUGGCUGGAGUGCGGCAGAGGGGGAUGGAAUUCCGCGUGUAGCAGUGAAAUGCGUAGAUAUCUGGAGGAACACCGGUGGCGAAGGCGACAUCCUGGACCAAUAUUGACGCUGAGGAGCGAAAGCCAGGGGAGCAAACGGG